GGUGGCUCAGUCGUAGAGCUCUUGCCUUGCAUGCAGGAGGCCCUGGGUUCGAUUCCCCAGAACCA
rfam:Dipodomys ordii contig_8092, whole genome shotgun sequence.